rnacentral:rRNA from 1 species
AGCUCCAAUAGCGUAUAUUAAAGUUGUUGCAGUUAAAAAGCUCGUAGUUGGAUUUCUGGUAGGAGUAGUAGCUAUGGGUCUUUGACCUGUGAAGUUGCUAUCUUCAACCAUCCUUGAAGAGAUUUAGUUUGGCAUUAAGUUGUCGAACUAAAGAUGUUCAUCUUUUACUGUGAAAAAAUCAGAACGUUCAAAGUAAGCAUUUAGCUUUGAAUGUAUUAGCAUGGAAUAAUGAAAUAGGACUUAGGUACUACUUUGUUGGUUUAUGCACCUAGGUAAUGAUUAAUAGGGAUAGUUGGGGGUAUUCGUAUUCCAAUGUUAGAGGUGAAAUUCUUGGAUUUUUGGAAGACGAACAACUGCGAAAGCAUUUACCAAGGAUGUUUUCAUUA